CGCUGGCGGCGUGCCUAACACAUGCAAGUCGAACGGUAGAGUUUAGAAACGAGAAUUCGGUUCAAGUUUUAAAUUCUUAGUGGCGGACGGGUGAGUAACGCGUGGACAACCUGCCUCUCACUGGGGGAUAGCAGCUGGAAACGGCUGGUAAUACCGCAUGCGUUCAAUGUGCCGCAUGACACAUUGAAGAAAGAUUUAUCGGUGAGAGAUGGGUCCGCGUCUGAUUAGCCAGUUGGCGGGGUAACGGCCCACCAAAGCGACGAUCAGUAGCCGGCCUGAGAGGGCGGACGGCCACAUUGGGACUGAGACACGGCCCAAACUCCUACGGGAGGCAGCAGUGGGGAAUAUUGCACAAUGGGGGAAACCCUGAUGCAGCGACGCCGCGUGAGUGAAGAAGUAUUUCGGUAUGUAAAGCUCUAUCAGCAGGGAAGAAAAUGACGGUACCUGACUAAGAAGCCCCGGCUAACUACGUG
rnacentral:rRNA from 1 species